rnacentral:rRNA from 1 species
GUUGUAUGGUUAAGUGACUAAGCGUACACGGUGGAUGCCUUGGCAGUCAGAGGCGAUGAAAGACGUAGUAACUUGCGAUAAGCCCAGAUUAGGUAGUAACAACCAUUUGAGUCUGGGAUUUCUGAAUGGGGAAACCCACUUACAUAAGUAAGUAUCAUUAACUGAAUACAUAGGUUAAUGAGGCGAACCGGGGGAACUGAAACAUCUAAGUACCCCGAGGAAAAGAAAUCAACCGAGAUUCCGAAAGUAGCGGCGA